UGUCUAAGGAUGUGUCCCUCAGCCGGCCCACAUGCCAGACCCCUUGUCCAGCGAUGGAGGCCCACUCUGCCAGUGCAGAACACCCAGCAGAAUCUACAUCUUUCAAAUCCUUCAGUGCGUGACCCGUCGGGUCAGGGUGGAUUGAAGCAUCACGCAGACGGACAUCUGAACAGCCUUUAAUGGAAUGAAAUCAGUUUGCAUUCACCGCAUUAUUCAGCUUUCUGGCCUUCAUGGGCGGCAGUGGCGUGACACAUGGAGAGGAUGGGAAAUACUGCUCUGACAGGGUUGAAAUAAAUGCAAUAGUUCUCUGCCCUUUAGGUCUCGAUUGUAAUGCAAUUGCAUUUUAUAUUUUCACUCCGUAGCAACUGUUAAAAAAAUACUUCAUCUAACUUCACUUUGGAUCGUGUAACGAGCUCCCACCACACGGCUAAGUCCGCGCGACUCGCAGGAAGUGAAUCCUCUGACCUCUGCCCCCGCAGGGAUGCCUAUUUCCUCAGGGCUGGGGUCAGGAGGAAGGGGCAACCAUCCCAUUGUACCAAGUAAGUCGUCGUCCUUUGCCAGUGUUUACAUUCCACCAGCUUCGGCCCCGGGGCAGAUCAGAGGUCCGCCAUGGGAAUGCUAAAUGAGAUGCGGUGGAAUGCUCCCCGGCUUCCUGGCUCAGCAGCCUCACCUUGCCCGAGCCCCCCGGACACCCCGAUGUCAAGAGGUUACUGGUGGUGGAACAUGUGUCAACCUCCUCCCAGCGUCGGGUCACAGGAGGGAUGCCUCACAAUAAGCUGAAGAGCAGCUUACAACGUCAACAAAAAAAAAAGACAUUGCCGGCUUCAUGUGACCUGAUGACAUUUGGGCCUUGGGGUCACUUGACUGUCCAUCUCCACUAUCAGCCCAAAGCCCCUGUGACAGGGAAGAUUGAGGGCUGAGGGCCAGUCCCUACGCUGUACCAUGCAGCAAGGAACUGCAGAUGCUGGUUUACACCGAAGAUUGCUGGAGUCACUCAGUGGGAUGGGCAGCAUCGCUGGAGAGAAGGAAUGGGUGACGUUUCGGGUCGAGACCCUUCUUCAGACUGAGAGUCAGAGGAGAGGGACACAAGGAAGGUUAUCUGCUUGAUGUCAAAUUUAAGUUGGAACAAACUGCAGAGGACAAGUUGGACGUCGAGGAUAUGUGUUUAUUUUCAUCUCUAACCCAGAGGAGCAUUUUUCACUAAGUCUUUGCUUUGCAACUUUGCUGAUCAAUUCACAUAAAGACCUUCUUGCAAACGGCUCUUCCUUACAGAUGUCACAGUCACCGCUGAGGAUUGGUGUCUGCUGCUCACGUGCCUCGGGUAACAAAUGAAACUGUCACAGGGAUUCUAGAAACCACGGGAGCCAGGGACUUUAACGUCGCGGCCUCUGGUUAGAGACCGACUUCGGGAACUCCAAGCCAUAGGAGCUUUGACCGUGUCGACGGGGGGGGCUUCGACCACCCCAACGCGGGGGCUUCAACCACCCCAACGCGGGGGCUUCAAUCGCCCCUACUGCGGAUGGCUCAACUGCCCCGACUGCGGGAGAAUAAAAAAACGGAAGACAUUUGGACUUUAGUGCCUUCCGUCUCAGUGAGGAACGUGGGGAACCUGCUGUGGUGGAUGUUUAUGUUAACUUUCAUGUAGUUGUGUGUCUUGGUGCUUUUUUUUGUAUGGCUGUAUGGUAAUUCAAAUUUCACUGUACCCUAAUUGGCACAUGUGACAAUAAACUGACAUUGAAACCUUGAAACCUUGAAAUAAAAAGAUGAUAUCCAAUUUGUAUUUUAGGAAGAGCACAUUUGUACAUUCUUUGGGUCAUGUUAUUGUGUACAUUGGUAUCAGAUAGCAUGAGUCAACACCAGCUUGUAAAGUCCGUGAGAUUGCCUUAUCACAGUGACUGACACCAUUGACCCACAGCAGUUUCGAUGGCAGACCUGAAUUUGUAACAAUACUGAAAGGUUACUUUUCUUACUUGUAGGACAUGGUCCUCCUUUACCGAAGGCAUCAGUCAACCUCGUUACCUCCAAGCUCAGGUGUUUCCAGAUGAGAGUUAUGAGAGCUUUGUUGGAUAUUGUUUUAAGGUGCUUACUUCAUAGACUUGUCACUAAUUCAUUCAAUACUUAUUAUCCAAGACUCGAAUUAUAUUAUGUA